CAUUCGACAAAUAUUUGAGGCUCUGAUAACACUAAAUGGAAACUGCUCUUCAUUGUGGGCUGUGUGGCUUUCCAGGUCUCACCAUUGCUGACCUCAUUCAGUCCUCACGUUAACCCUCUGAGGAUGAGCUGGUGGAAGCGGUCCACGUGCUCGAAGCUGGCCUUGUCGGUGACAGAGUAGACGAUGAGGAAGCCAUCCCCCGUGCGCAUGUACUGCUCCCGCAUGGCACUGAAUUCCUCCUGCCCAGCUGUGUCCAGAACUGGGGUGGAAUGAGGCUACUCACGGGCUGUCCUCGCCCACCCUGCCGCCCCUACAGCCUGCAGACUCUCAUGCUGCUGCUGCUGUCCUUACCAUGGCCCAGUCUGAGCUGUCCUGUGAGCGGCAGCACAGGCUCUCUCUCUGGGGCUACUCGAAGGGCCCCAGCUGAAGCCCCCCCAUUAAAGGCUGCUUCAGGGUGAGGCUCUAACUCACCCACCAAA